rnacentral:tRNA from 1 species
GCCGGCCGUGGUCGUCGGGGUCGUCCGGGUUGAGGGCCAGGGGAUUGGCCAGGGCCAGGCAGCCGGUGAGGUUCCAGGCCUUGCGGACGGCG